rnacentral:rRNA from 1 species
AUGAAGCUGGAUUCGCUAGUAAUCGCGCAUCAGCCACGGCGCGGUGAACACGUUCCCGGGCCUUGUACACACCGCCCGUCAAGCCAUGGAAGCCGGGAGUGCCUGAAGUACGCGACCGCAAGGAGCGUCCUAAGGUAAAACCGGUGACUGGGGCUAAGUCGUAACAAGGUACC